GACGUAGGGCGCGAGCGUUGUCCGGAUUUAUUGGGCGUAAAGAGCUCGUAGGCGGUUUGUCGCGUCGUUCGUGAAAACUCACAGCUUAACUGUGAGCUUGCGGUCGAUACGGGCAGACUUGAGUUCGGCAGGGGAGACUGGAAUUCCUGGUGUAGCGGUGAAAUGCGCAGAUAUCAGGAGGAACACCGGUGGCGAAGGCGGGUCUCUGGGCCGAUACUGACGCUGAGGAGCGAAAGCGUGGGGAGCGAACAGG
rnacentral:rRNA from 1 species